AGUGAACGCUGGCGGUAGGCCUAACACAUGCAAGUCGAACGGCAGCACAGUAAGAGCUUGCUCUUACGGGUGGCGAGUGGCGGACGGGUGAGGAAUACAUCGGAAUCUACUUUUUCGUGGGGGAUAACGUAGGGAAACUUACGCUAAUACCGCAUACGUCCUACGGGUGAAAGCAGGGGAUCUUCGGACCUUGCGCGAUUGUAUGAGCCGAUGUCGGAUUAGCUAGUUGGCGGGGUAAAGGCCCACCAAGGCGACGAUCCGUAGCUGGUCUGAGAGGAUGAUCAGCCACACUGGAACUGAGACACGGUCCAGACUCCUACGGGAGGCAGCAGUGGGGAAUAUUGGACAAAGGGCGCAAGCCUGAUCCAGCCAUACCGCGUGGGUGAAGAAGGCCUUCGGGUUGUAAAGCCCUUUUGUUGGGAAAGAAAAGCAGCAGGUUAAUCCCCCGCUGUUCUGACGGUACCCAAAGAAUAAGCACCGGCUAACUUCGUG
rnacentral:rRNA from 1 species